CAAGCUUAAAGAAAAGGUGGCCUCUGUAUAUGCUACCGAUUAUGGAUGGACCCGCGUCUGAUUAGCUAGUUGGUGGGGUAAAGGCCUACCAAGGCGACGAUCAGUAGCCGGCCUGAGAGGGUGAACGGCCACACUGGAACUGAGACACGGUCCAGACUCCUACGGGAGGCAGCAGUGGGGAAUCUUCCGCAAUGGGCGAAAGCCUGACGGAGCAACGCCGCGUGAGCGAAGAAGGUCUUCGGAUUGUAAAGCUCUGUGAUAUUGGACGAACAAUUUCCCGUAAAUAAUGGGAAGGAAUGACGGUACAAUAAGAGGAAGCCACGGCUAACUACGUGCCAGCAGCCGUUGUCCGGAAUUAUUGGGCGUAAAGGGCGCGUAGGCGGAUCGUUAAGUCCGGUGUGAAAGAUCAGGGCUCAACCCUGAGAGUGCAUCGGAAACUGGAGAUCUUGAGGACAGGAGAGGAAAGUGGAAUUCCACGUGUAGCGGUGAAAUGCGUAGAUAUGUGGAGGAACACCAGUGGCGAAGGCGGUUGCCUGGCCUGUAACUGACGCUGAGGCUCGAAAGCGUGGGGAGCAAAUAGGAUUAGAUACCCUAGUAGUCCACGCUGUAAACGAUGAUUACUAAGUGUUGGAGCAAUUCAGUGCUGCAGUUAACGCAAUAAGUAAUCCGCCUGGGGAGUAUGCACGCAAGUGUGAAACUCAAAGGAAUUGACGGGGGCCCGCACAAGCAGCGGAGCAUGUGGUUUAAUUCGACGCAACGCGAAGAACCUUACCAGGACUUGACAUCCCUCGCUAUUUACUGAAAGGUAGAGUUCCCUUCGGGGACGAGGAGACAGGUGGUGCACGGUUGUCGUCAGCUCGUGUCGUGAGAUGUUGGGUUAAGUCCCGCAACGAGCGCAACCCUUGUCUUUAGUUGCUAACGCGUAGUGGCGAGCACUCUAGACAGACUGCCGGUGAUAAACCGGAGGAAGGUGGGGAUGACGUCAAAUCAUCAUGCCCCUUAUGUCCUGGGCUACACACGUGCUACAAUGGGCUGAACAGAGGGAAGCGAGACCGCGAGGUGGAGCCAAUCCCAUAAAACAGCUCUCAGUUCAGAUCGUAGGCUGCAACUCGCCUACGUGAAGAUGGAGUUGCUAGUAAUCGCGGAUCAGCAUGCCGCGGUGAAUGCGUUCCCG
rnacentral:rRNA from 1 species